AUUGAACGCUGGCGGCAGGCUUAACACAUGCAAGUCGAGCGGGGAUAAGGUGCUUGCACCUUAUCUUAGCGGCGGACGGGUGAGUAAUGCUUAGGAAUCUGCCUAUUAGUGGGGGACAACAUUCCGAAAGGAAUGCUAAUACCGCAUACGUCCUACGGGGGAAAGCAGGGGAUCUUCGGACCUUGCGCUAAUAGAUGAGCCUAAGUCGGAUUAGCUAGUUGGUGGGGUAAAGGCCUACCAAGGCGACGAUCUGUAGCGGGUCUGAGAGGAUGAUCCGCCACACUGGGACUGAGACACGGCCCAGACUCCUACGGGAGGCAGCAGUGGGGAAUAUUGGACAAUGGGGGGAACCCUGAUCCAGCCAUGCCGCGUGUGUGAAGAAGGCCUUAUGGUUGUAAAGCACUUUAAGCGAGGAGGAGGCUACUGAGACUAAUACUCUUGGAUAGUGGACGUUACUCGCAGAAUAAGCACCGGCUAACUCUGUGCCAGCAGCCGCAGUAACAC
rnacentral:rRNA from 1 species